UUGCAGCGAUUUAGGCAUUUACUACGACAAGGAGGUGAAGAAGAGUUGGCUCGCUUUGAGCGACACGCCAUUUGAGGCUGUCUUCAUCAAAUCAAACAUUGACGGUCACUACUCUACUUCCACCCUGCCUGCCUCAACUAUUUGAGCUUCGACGCUGCUUGCCUCAGCUAUUUGAACUUCGACCCAGCUUUAGUGUUACCUUUUGUGUUCCUUCGUAUGCAUCUGUAUGUACGAAUAAAGUAGGUAGGGAUCCUUCCUGAACUACUUGUGUUUAGCUUGUGUGUUACUUUGUAUGCAUCCUUUAUAUGCAUGAAUAAAGUGGGUGGGGACCCUUUAUGGC
rnacentral:misc_RNA from 1 species